GCCAGAAGUGUCCUUAUGUAUCUGCAGAACUGUGGGGUGGGUUUUUUUUUCUCAAAGGGCAGGAGUAUUCCACCUUCUCAGGGAAUCUUUGGUUUAAUCCUUCUCGCUCAGAUGUGGCGACUACACAACUUAGGCUGUCGUUACUAAUUGAGAGAGAGAACAAGAAGAAGCGUGGUUUUGCCACCACAGCAAAGCUGCUUUCAAACACAAAUGGCUCUAAUAGUUGGGAACUGGAGGUUUAAGGUAACUUCUGCUGCCAGAGCCCGGGCGGCCACUAAACCUCGCACUCCCUGUCCCUAGACCAGCUGGUUGCUGCCAUCAUGCGGCCAGCUCGUUUAUUUGCAGCCACGUUAAUCAUUUCUUCCUCGGUUUUCGUUUCUCUGCUCCUGCAGGGCUUUCUCUUUCCUCCCUAUAGCAUCCUCUGGUGCUUUCUGCCUUGUCGGGAUGGCUCCAGCGUCUUGCCAGAAAGAAAGGUCUCCCUGCCUGCAGGCCGGCAGCACUGUGUCGUGUUUGGAUUUGUUGUGGCUGAAGAGCCUGACCUGGUGUUGAUUUCAAAGAAUAAUUUGGAAAGCCCUGCUGCAGGUACCUCCAGGUUCCACAAGCUCAAGGCACGUUCACCAAAGAUCACCCGGGAGUCUCGACAGCGCUGGGGACGCUUCCUCCUGGGCCGCGGUGAAACAGUCGCCUUAAACGUCAGGGUCAACACUCCUAAAUUCCCGGUGCGCUUUCAAUUAGCCACGCUUCCCUUCGCCCAUCCUGCAGCGUUGUUUUAUGUUAUCAAAACGCUACUCGAACCUCCGGCUCGGGGACUGCCGGACUUGGGCUGUGAGGGUGUUGAGCAGAACCGGCCUUGAAGCGUGUUAGUGCAUCUCCUCCCUCGGCGCCAUGUCCUGGGUCCCGGGCAGCGGGCACCAACGAGGGGGCAACGCCGCAGCCCUGUGGGGAGCAGCGAUGCCGUGGGUCCUCUUCCUCCAGGCCGGGACCUGCCCUUCGGCCUCGGUUUUCACCUCUGGCAGCCCCAGGAGACGUUCCUUCGUGGCGGCUGCGGAGAGGCCGGGGGAAGACGCGACUCCGUCAUGGCGGGGCAGAGACCCCUGAGGGAGGAGGCCGCGUCUCCUCGGUGAGGGAGCUGGACAGGCCGCGGGACUCCGGUCCUCGAGGGGGAGGAACGCGAUGGCGGCGUGGCUUGGGACUGCGCUGCCAGCACCGUCCGCAGGGCUCCCUGCGGACAAAGCAGUACGGUCCCCACGCUGCAUUUCUCAAGGGAGUUGUGCCAGGGCUCACAGGGAUGGCCAGAACAGCCAGGCUGCCUCUUCACGCCAUCUUAAGGUGGAAAGCGAGGGCAGGUUCCCAAUGUGUGUCAUCAACUUGGAAGCUCUGUGUAGAAGAGGGAAUCGUACGUCGCAGCAAUCUGCAGGUGACUACUGGACGCCAACCUGAUUCUAGUCCAGCUGCUGACAGUUCUUGCAGAGAAAAAGAAAAUGUAUUUGCCCUGAAGUCCUAAUUAUUAUAAAAUAGCACGUCUUUAUUUUUUUCAGAAACUAAGGCCUUUUAUUGCAUUUUGCGUCACCAUUCAAACUUAGGAAUAAACCGCGCUGAACCAUGAUGCGUUCUUAAAUGCAGUAUCUCAGCAGUUUACAGUGUUCGACCUGAACACGUGAACCACUUGAAAAACAUUAUUGCUAAUGAUGGAAUAGCUCCAUCUUCUGGAACAAAAGUUAUUUCCUUGACAGCCAUCUUUCUAUUUCCAACAUGGAUCUAUAUGUAACAGCUUCUAUUUCAAAACCUAACUUGAAUAUUUUUACUGAUGGCAGGUGAAUCUUGGGUAGAAAACGGGAGGGAUUUAGGAUAAUGUGAUCUCUGAUAAACUUUAGGACUUUAUUUUCUAAUGACACUGGAAACGCAUGGCCGUCGUUCAACAUGCCAUAUUAAAAACUGACCUUACUAUUCAAGAAAUAGCUGGACUCUGAUUUUGAGAGCAAGAAUUUAAGCUCCGUUUAAGGCAAAACACUCCACGCAGAUCGUUAACUUUAGUCCUGAUUUAGGUACUUUAAAUCGGGAGGCGGGCGGCGGGGCGGCACCUCGCGCGCACCCACCCCGCGGCGGCGGGAACCGCGCGGUUGCCACGGCAACGGGAGACGCCCCGCUCCCGCCCCGCCCUUUCCCUAGGAGCGCUCUGCGCUUGCGCCGGGCUCCGCGCCUACGUGGGGUCGCGUCGGGGGCGUGGCCCGCCCCGCCCCCCUCCCCCUCUUGCCCGCCCUCCCCGCGUGCGCGGCC
rnacentral:lncRNA from 1 species